rnacentral:lncRNA from 1 species
CGGCACGCUGCUCUGCUGCAGUUCUGACAAUGGUCUGACUCAAAUACAGGCCACGCUGCAGCUGCUGUGCUGCCUGCAUUUCUGCAGAGGCACUGCUGAAAUCUGCCCUUGCUUCUUACACUGAAAAGAUACAUUCACAACAACAAUUCCUGCCAACCUGGCAAGCAAGCAGGCAGAACAAGCAGUUACCAUCACACUGCCUCAGCAAAGGCACAGGAUCUGCAUCCAAGGAGACUUACU